rnacentral:tRNA from 1 species
GCGCGAGUGGCGAAAUGGCAGACGCGCUGGCUUCAGGUGCCAGUGUUCGAAAGGACGUGGGGGUUCAAGUCCCCCCUCGCGCACCA